rnacentral:rRNA from 1 species
GACGAACGCUGGCGGCGUGCUUAACACAUGCAAGUCGAACGGAAAGGCCCUGCUUUUGUGGGGUGCUCGAGUGGCGAACGGGUGAGUAACACGUGAGUAACCUGCCCUUGACUUUGGGAUAACUUCAGGAAACUGGGGCUAAUACCGGAUAGGAGCUCCUGCUGCAUGGUGGGGGUUGGAAAGUUUCGGCGGAUGGGGAUGGACUCGCGGCUUAUCAGCUUGUUGGUGGGGUAGUGGCUUACCAAGGCUUUGACGGGUAGCCGGCCUGAGAGGGUGACCGGCCACAUUGGGACUGAGAUACGGCCCAGACUCCUACGGGAGGCAGCAGUGGGGAAUAUUGCACAAUGGGCGGAAGCCUGAUGCAGCAACGCCGCGUGCGGGAUGAAGGCCUUCGGGUUGUAAACCGCUUUCGCCUGUGACGAAGCGUGAGUGACGGUAAUGGGUAAAGAAGCACCGGCUAACUACGUG